rnacentral:rRNA from 1 species
AUUGAACGCUGGCGGCAUGCUUUACACAUGCAAGUCGAACGGCAACAGGGAGCUUGCUCCGCUGACGAGUGGCGAACGGGUGAGUAAUGCGUCGGAACGUGCCGAGUAGUGGGGGAUAACGCAUCGAAAGGUGUGCUAAUACCGCAUACGAACUGAGGUUGAAAGUGGGGGACCUUCGGGCCUCACGCUAUUCGAGCGGCCGACGUCUGAUUAGCUAGUUGGUGAGGUAAAGGCUCACCAAGGCGACGAUCAGUAGCGGGUCUGAGAGGAUGAUCCGCCACACUGGGACUGAGACACGGCCCAGACUCCUACGGGAGGCAGCAGUGGGGAAUUUUGGACAAUGGGCGCAAGCCUGAUCCAGCCAUGCCGCGUGUCUGAAGAAGGCCUUCGGGUUGUAAAGGACUUUUGUCCGGGAGCAAAUGCUGGUGGCUAACAUCCACCGGAGCUGAGAGUACCGGAAGAAUAAGCACCGGCUAACUACGUGCCAGCCGCCGCGGUAAAAC